rnacentral:rRNA from 1 species
GAUGAACGCUGGCGGCGUGCCUAAUACAUGCAAGUCGAGCGAACGGACGAGAAGCUUGCUUCUCUGAUGUUAGCGGCGGACGGGUGAGUAACACGUGGAUAACCUACCUAUAAGACUGGGAUAACUUCGGGAAACCGUAGCUAAUACCGUAUAAUAUUUUGAACCGCAUGGUUCAAAAGUGAAAGACGGUCUUGCUGUCACUUAUAGAUGGAUCCGCGCUGCAUUAGCUAGUUGGUAAGGUAACGGCUUACCAAGGCAACGAUGCAUAGCCGAACUGAGAGGGUGAUCGGCCACACUGGAACUGAGACACGGUCAAGACUCCUACGGGAGGCAGCAGUCGGGAAUCUUCCGCAGAGGGCGAAAGCCUGACGGAGCAACGCCGCGUGAGUGAUGAAGGUGUUCGGAUCGUAAAACUCUGUUAUUAGGGAAGAACAUAUGUGUAAGUAACUGUGCACAUCUUGACGGUACCUAAUCAGAAAGCCACGGCUAACUACGUG